CCUACGGGAGGCAGCAGUGAGGAAUAUUGGUCAAUGGGCGGAAGCCUGAACCAGCCAAGUAGCGUGCAGGAUGACGGCCCUACGGGUUGUAAACUGCUUUUAUACGGGAAUAACGCGCCUUACGUGUAGGGCUUUGCAUGUACCGUAUGUAUAAGGCCCGGCUAAUUCCGUGCCAGCAGCCGCGGUAAUACGGAAGGUUCGAGCGUUAUCCGGAUUUAUUGGGUUUAAAGGGAGCGGAGGCCGCAUUUCAAUCGUCUCGUGAAAUGUCCGGGCUCAACCCGGGCCUUGCAGCGGAAACUGGCGUGCUUGAGUCCGCGAGAGGCAGGCGGAAUUCGUCGUGUAGCGGUGAAAUGCUUAGAUAUGACGAAGAACCCCGAUUGCGAAGGCAGCUUGCUGCAGCGGAACUGACGCUGAUGCUCGAAAGCGCGGGUAUCGAACAGGAUUAGAUACCCCAGUAGUC
rnacentral:rRNA from 1 species